rnacentral:rRNA from 1 species
GACGAACGCUGGCGGCGUGCUUAACACAUGCAAGUCGAACGGAAAGGCCCUGCUUUUGUGGUGUGCUCGAGUGGCGAACGGGUGAGUAACACGUGAGUAACCUGCCCUUGACUUUGGGAUAACUUCAGGAAACUGUGGCUAAUACCGGAUAGGAGCUCCUGCUGCAUGGUGGGGGUUGGACAGUUUCGGCGGUUGGGUAUGGACUCGCGGCUUAUCAGCUUGUUGGUGGGGUAGUGGCUUACCAAGGCUUUGACGGGUAGCCGGCCUGAGAGGGUGACCGGCCACAUUGGGACUGAGAUACGGCCCAGACUCCUACGGGAGGCAGCAGUGGGGAAUAUUGCACAAUGGGCGGAAGCCUGAUGCAGCAACGCCGCGUGCGGGAUGACGGCCUUCGGGUUGUAAACCGCUUUCGCCUGUGACGAAGCGUGAGUGACGGUAAUGGGUAAAGAAGCACCGGCUAACUACGU